rnacentral:sRNA from 1 species
CCGUCUUGGUUAGAUUGGGAUACUCAUCAAAUAGCAAUGAAAACCGGGCAGUCUUCUCUUGUCAAUGGCGGGCCAUUACCCAAGCGUUUUUAAAUGCCGAUGGAUUACAAAGACGGAGAGCACCCACAACCUGUGAUAAAGGAGUUUUCAUCACAUCACCCUGGCGGUCC